rnacentral:rRNA from 1 species
UACGUAGGGGGCGAGCGUUGUCCGGAUUUAUUGGGCGUAAAAGGCUUGUAGGCGGCUUUACAGGUCCGUUGUGAAAACUCGAGGCUCAACCUCGAGACGCCGGUGGAAACCGUAAAGCUAGAGUCCGGAAGAGGAGAGUGGAAUUCCUGGUGUAGCGGUGAAAUGCGCAGAUAUCAGGAAGAACACCCGUGGCGAAGGCGGCUCUCUGGGACGGUACUGACGCUGAGACGCGAAAGCGUGGGGAGCGAACAGG